GAACUCUGACCACCUACACCAUGUGGGUUUGGGGCUAUGAAGUAGAGGGGUACCAAACAAGGUAGAAUGGCUGCAUACAUAUAGUGCUUAACCAAAGGCUGGGCCUCUACUCUCCCAUCAGGCCUUGACGAAGGAUCCAGCCCCUUCCAGCCCCCAAUGUGGGGUUUCCUUGGAUGCCAGCCCAUCCUGGGUUGGACUUGAAGAUGGCAAAAUGCCCAGGGGAGAAACCCCUCAGAUCUUGCUCUUUGCUACAUAUCCACAGAUCUCAGGACCAGGUGUUUUCUGCUUCCUUCAGAUCCUAGAUUCUGAACUGUGGGAACCUCCUGGGUUACUGAAGCUUCAGCCUAAAACUCUGCAGCAGGGGAGAAGAGGCAGCAGUGGCUUUGUCUCACGCAGCCACAACUGGAAGUCAUCCUGCUAGGGCUUUUUGUUUGUUCAUUUAUUUGUGUGUGUGUGUGUGUGUGUGUGUGUCUGCCACCACAUGUGUUCAGGUAUCUAAGGAGGCCAAUAGAAGGGAUGGGAACUCCUGGAGCUGGAGUUACAGCUGUGAACCAGCUAAUACUGUGUGCUGUGAACUGAACUCUGGUUUUCUGUAAAAGCGGGAAGUGUUCUUA
rnacentral:lncRNA from 1 species